rnacentral:lncRNA from 1 species
UAUUAGGUAACAAAUAAAUAAUACAAACAUGGUAACAAAUAAAUAAUACAAACAAAUAAUAAUAAUGAAAUUAGGUCACAAAUAAAUAAUACAAACAAAUAAUACUAAUGAAAUUAUUAGGUAACAAAUAAAUAAUACAAACAAAUAAUAAUAAUGAAAUCAGGUCACAAAUAAAUAAUACAAACAAAUAAUACUAAUGAAAUUAGGUCACAAAUAAAUAAUACAAACAAAUAAUACUAAUGAAAUUAUUAGGUAACAAAUAAAUAAU